GUGCUCACUUCAGCAGCACAUAACACUAGAAUUGGAAUAAUACACAGAAGAUUAGCAUGAUCCCUACACAAGGAUGAUGUGCAAAUUUGUGAAUCAUUCCAUAUUUUU
ensembl:snRNA U6 U6 spliceosomal RNA